rnacentral:rRNA from 1 species
CCUACGGGAGGCAGCAGUAGGGAAUCUUCGGCAAUGGACGGAAGUCUGACCGAGCAACGCCGCGUGGGUGAAGAAGGUUUUCGGAUCGUAAAGCUCUGUUGUAAGAGAAGAACGAGUGUGAGAGUGGAAAGUUCACACUGUGACGGUAUCUUACCAGAAAGGGACGGCUAACUACGUGCCAGCAGCCGCGGUAAUACGUAGGUCCCGAGCGUUGUCCGGAUUUAUUGGGCGUAAAGCGAGCGCAGGCGGUUAGAUAAGUCUGAAGUUAAAGGCUGUGGCUUAACCAUAGUACGCUUUGGAAACUGUUUAACUUGAGUGCAGAAGGGGAGAGUGGAAUUCCAUGUGUAGCGGUGAAAUGCGUAGAUAUAUGGAGGAACACCGGUGGCGAAAGCGGCUCUCUGGUCUGUAACUGACGCUGAGGCUCGAAAGCGUGGGGAGCAAACAGGAUUAGAUACCCUGGUAGUCCACGCCGUAAACGAUGAGUGCUAGGUGUUGGGUCCUUUCCGGGACUCAGUGCCGUAGCUAACGCAUUAAGCACUCCGCCUGGGGAGUACGACCGCAAGGCUGAAACUCAAAGGAAUUGACGG